rnacentral:rRNA from 1 species
UACCCCAUGGCGGGAGCCUACACAUGCAGUCGACGGCAGCACAGGAGAGCUUGCUCUCUGGGUGGCGAGUGGCGGACGGGUGAGGAAUACAUCGGAAUCUACUUUUUCGUGGGGGAUAACGUAGGGAAACUUACGCUAAUACCGCAUACGACCUACGGGUGAAAGCAGGGGAUCUUCGGACCUUGCGCGAUUGAAUGAGCCGAUGUCGGAUUAGCUAGUUGGCGGGGUAAAGGCCCACCAAGGCGACGAUCCGUAGCUGGUCUGAGAGGAUGAUCAGCCACACUGGAACUGAGACACGGUCCAGACUCCUACGGGAGGCAGCAGUGGGGAAUAUUGGACAAUGGGCGCAAGCCUGAUCCAGCCAUACCGCGUGGGUGAAGAAGGCCUUCGGGUUGUAAAGCCCUUUUGUUGGGAAAGAAAUCCAGCUGGUUAAUACCCGGUUGGGAUGACGGUACCCAAAGAAUAAGCACCGGCUAACUCUGUGCCAGCAGCCGCU